rnacentral:tRNA from 1 species
GCCGGCUUAGCUCAGUUGGUAGAGCACAUCAUUCGUAAUGAUGGGGUCGCGUGUUCGAGUCACGCAGGCGGCACCA